GGGGGGAACCCUGACCGAGCAACGCCGCGUGAGUGAAGAAGGUUUUCGGAUCGUAAAGCUCUGUUGUAAGAGAAGAACGAGUGUGAGAGUGGAAAGUUCACGCUGUGACGGUAUCUUACCAGAAAGGGACGGCUAACUACGUGCCAGCAGCCGCGGUAAUACGUAGGUCCCGAGCGUUAUCCGGAUUUAUUGGGCGUAAAGCGAGCGCAGGCGGUUAGAUAAGUCUGAAGUUAAAGGCUGUGGCUCAACCAUAGUUCGCUUUGGAAACUGUCAAACUUGAGUGCAGAAGGGGAGAGUGGAAUUCCAUGUGUAGCGGUGAAAUGCGUAGAUAUAUGGAGGAACACC
rnacentral:rRNA from 1 species